rnacentral:lncRNA from 1 species
CUUUAUACAGAAGAACAGUGCUGAAAAAAGCAUUACGAAUGUUUAUACUGAUAUCGACUAUUUUACUGUCACGUCUACUCUUGCUCCUCGCCUCUGGCGUUGGAUGUCGCCGGAAUACUAACCACCUGUCCUGGGAUACAUCAAUACGCACACCUGGCAUUCUUCAUUACACGCACCUGUUGAUCAUUAUGAUUCACACCUGGACUCCAUUACCUUCCUCAUUACCUUACAUUUGUUCCUCAGUUGGUAUUGUUCCUGUGUUCAUGCUUUUUCCCCACUGUGAUGUUAUCUCGGUUCAUGGGUUACUAAAUGUUUCACCUGCUUCUCGACUCACAGCGUCUUUGUUACAGAAUACCGACUCAAAAUAGGGAAGCAGCAGGAAAUUCAAAUAUCUCUCAGAUGGUCGAUGAACAGGGUUAUCUUCUACGUCAACACCAUGACCAGCUGGCACAACUGGGAUCGGCUAUGGAGGUUCUUCGUGGUAUGCAACGUCUCAAACACACCCGAGAGGCGUCGCCUUCAUCCAGUGGAGGAUACUCUUCAGCCAGUCGACCCAGCACAUCAGUGACCCCCACUCAGGCCGGUGGUUCCUGGUCCUCUAGCUGUUGCUGCCCCCCCCCCCCGGACAUCGAGGGGAGUCUGACAUAUGCUGUCAGAGCCCUACUGGACUCCUGGUGUCGUGGGGGUCAGCUCCAGUACCUGGUGGACUGGGAGGGGUAUGUAGGGUUCCGGUGGAGGACUUUCUGGAUCCCAACAUCAGCCGUGAUUUCCACCUUCGCCGUCCAGACCGAUCUGCUCCUCAGGGUUGUCCUCUUGGUCGGCGUCGUCCUGCAGCAGGAGCCGCGCGUCGGGGGGCUACUGUCACUUCUGCUCCUCUGGCAUUUGACUUUGCCGGAAUACUAACCACCGGUCCUGGGAUUCUUCAUUACACGCACAUGUUGAUCAUUAUGAUUCACACCUCUUAUCGGUCCCUCCCUUAUGUUUGUUCCUCAGUCGGUAUUCAUGCCACUAAUCUCGUUUCAUGUUUGUUUUAUUAAACGUUUCACCUGCUUCUUGACUCACAGCAU